GGUUAAGUGACUAAGCGUACACGGUGGAUGCCCUGGCAGUCAGAGGCGAUGAAGGACGUGCUAAUCUGCGAUAAGCGUCGGUAAGGUGAUAUGAACCGUUAUAACCGGCGAUUUCCGAAUGGGGAAACCCAGUGUGAUUCGUCACACUAUCAUUAACUGAAUCCAUAGGUUAAUGAGGCGAACCGGGGGAACUGAAACAUCUAAGUACCCCGAGGAAAAGAAAUCAACCGAGAUUCCCCCAGUAGCGGCGAGCGAACGGGGAGCAGCCCAGAGCCUGAAUCAGUGUGUGUGUUAGUGGAAGCGUCUGGAAAGGCGCGCGAUACAGGGUGACAGCCCCGUACACAAAAAUACACAUA
rnacentral:rRNA from 1 species